rnacentral:rRNA from 1 species
UCAACCUGGUUGAUCCUGCCAGUAGUCAUAUGCUUGUCUCAAAGAUUAAGCCAUGCAUGUCUAAGUAUAAGCACUCUAUACUGUGAAACUGCGAAUGGCUCAUUAAAUCAGUUAUAGUUUAUUUGAUAGUACCUUACUACUUGGAUAACCGUGGUAAUUCUAGAGCUAAUACAUGCUAAAAACCCCGACUUACG